UGCUGAGAAAAGAUCACGAAAACUUGACAGCCCUGGCGCAGGGCACAAUAAAUGCAACAUUAAUUCGAGAAAAGAAAACGCUAUAUACUAAAAGAUUUUGAU